rnacentral:rRNA from 1 species
GAUGAACGCUAGCUACAGGCUUAACACAUGCAAGUCGAGGGACCAGCGCACGUGUAAGUAACACGUAUCCAACCUGCCCUUUAGUCGGGGAUAGCCUUACGAAAGGAAGAUUACUACCCGAUAUCAAGGAUGGGGAUGCGUUCCAUUAGGUUGUUGGUGAGGUAAAGGAUCACCAAGCCUUCGCUGGAUAUGGGUUCUGAGAUUAAGGUCCCCGAAAUUGGAACUGAGACCAGACCCCAACGCCUACGGGAGGUAGCAGUUAGUAAUAAUUGGCAAUGAGCGUUAGCCUGAACCAGCCAGUUAGCGUAAAGGAUGAAGGCUUAUGGGUCGUUAUCUUCUUUUAUAUAAGAAGAGGUAUUAUAUGAAUAAGGAUCGGCUAACUCCGUGCCAGCAGCCGCGGUAAUAC